rnacentral:rRNA from 1 species
UACGUAGGGUGCUAGCGUUGUCCGGAAUCAUUGGGCGUAAAGAGCGUGUAGGCGGUCCGGUAAGUCGGCUGUGAAAGUCCAGGGCUCAACCCUGGGAUGCCGGUCGAUACUGCCGGACUAGAGUUCGGAAGAGGCGAGUGGAAUUCCCGGUGUAGCGGUGAAAUGCGCAGAUAUCGGGAGGAACACCUAUGGCGAAGGCAGCUCGCUGGGACGUUACUGACGCUGAGACGCGAAAGCGUGGGGAGCAAACAGG